rnacentral:rRNA from 1 species
UACGUAGGGCGCAAGCGUUUAUCCGGAAUUACUGGGCGUAAAGCGCACGUAGGCGGCUUUGUAAGUUAGAGGUGAAAGCCUGGAGCUCAACUCCAGAAUUGCCUUUAAGACUGCAUCGCUUGAAUCCAGGAGAGGUGAGUGGAAUUCCGAGUGUAGAGGUGAAAUUCGUAGAUAUUCGGAAGAACACCAGUGGCGAAGGCGGCUCACUGGACUGGUAUUGACGCUGAGGUGCGAAAGCGUGGGGAGCAAACAGG